GGAGACUGGCUUAGUGGCACAGCAUCUGCCUUGCAUGCAGGUGCCUGGUUCAAUCCCUGGCAUCUUCA